rnacentral:rRNA from 1 species
UACGAAGGGUGCAAGCGUUACUCGGAAUUACUGGGCGUAAAGCGUGCGUAGGUGGUUCGUUAAGUCUGAUGUGAAAGCCCUGGGCUCAACCUGGGAAUGGCAUUGGAAACUGGCGACCUAGAGUGCGGUAGAGGGUAGUGGAAUUCCCGGUGUAGCAGUGAAAUGCGUAGAGAUCGGGAGGAACAUCUGUGGCGAAGGCGACUGCCUGGACCAGCACUGACACUGAGGCACGAAAGCGUGGGGAGCAACAGG